ensembl:lncRNA
CCCGGAUCUCCGAGUCAACACCGCGCCGGAAUGCGAUGCCGCGGACACUGCAGAGAGACGGAUGCUUACGUGCCCGAAAUAUAAAAGAGAGACAGAGACGGAGAGACAGAGACGGGGGGGGGAGACAGACGCGUCGCCGCUGCGCUCCUUGCGCGCGGACUUUACGCGCAGACGGCCGCGCUAAUUGGCACCGCACGAGCCAACUUCGCCAAACGCCGAGACGGUUAAAUGCGCCCAGAAGCGCGCGCGCGCACGCUGAGCCGCGCAGGGCGAACUGCGACGCGACGCGUCUGUUUGGCUUCUUACCUGCUCGCGUGAAGUGAAGCGACAGCAGCCGCUGGUGUGAGUGACUGGAGGAGCUGCGGGACGCCAGCACACCCGCCACGUGCGUCAAGUCCCGGCAAUCAGCAGCGGAACCACUUUCAAACUUGCUGCGGCUGAUGACGUCCAGCGGUUUGCUCAGAUGAAUCUCGCCUGCAGAACAGAAGGAAACGCGGUGGAACAUUAAAGGAGCGUUACGAAGAUUCAUGGAUGGAAAACACGUGACGUUUCAUCUGCAGGGCUCGAGCCUGCAAAUCAGCUGCAGCACAUCGUUAAUGUGUCGGGGGCUCUGUGUUCAUAUGGGGGGGCAGACUGUCCUCCUCUCUGGAGAGCCGGACCGUCUGGAGAGAAGGGGGCAGGAGAACCAGAACCAGGACUGAGAGGGGCAGCCUGAGACUCUGCUGCGGUAGAACGAGGACUUCUUUAGGGCGCCGAUGCUCAGAGAACUACCGCUUUACUCCACAGGGGGCGCCGGAACCACCAGCAAAUAAAAGCGCUUAUUAAUAACAUUAACAUUUCGUAGUAUUGAUCACCUGCGUGGCUGUAAAUCCAGAAAUAUUGCAUCUCAGAGAGUUUCGCUUGUACAAUAUUCACAAAUAAAUAUACUGUAUAAAUUUCAAUAUAUAUAUACAAAUUAAUCUAGAAAUUGCUUUAGUUUGAAUGUAAAAAAAACAAUUUUGCUGUUAAAUAAUUUAAUGUUAUUUGUGUGUGUAUAUUUAUCCUAGUUUGAAAGUACAAACCCAUUUCGUUGUGAAAUUGUUUGUACUUCAAAUUAAAUAUUCUUUUGUUAUUGAUUUUCAACAUGUAGAAACAUCUUAAAAAAAUCAGGUUUCUACCAAAUAAACAAAAG